GCAACGGUGGCGCAGGGGUAAAGUGCGCGACCCAUUUAGGCUGUCGCGGGUUUGAGUCCCAGCCUGUUGCC